rnacentral:rRNA from 1 species
UACGUAGGGGGCAAGCGUUGUCCGGAAUCAUUGGGCGUAAAGAGCGCGUAGGCGGCCCUGUAAGUCCGCUGUGAAAGUCAAGGGCUCAACCCUUGAAUGCCGGUGGAUACUGCAGGGCUAGAGUCCGGAAGAGGCGAGUGGAAUUCCUGGUGUAGCGGUGAAAUGCGCAGAUAUCAGGAGGAACACCGAUGGCGAAGGCAGCUCGCUGGGACGGUACUGACGCUGAGGCGCGAAAGCUAGGGGAGCGAACGGG